rnacentral:rRNA from 1 species
UACGGGGGGAGCAAGCGUUGUUCGGAUUUACUGGGCGUAAAGGGCGCGUAGGCGGUCAGCACAAGUCAGUUGUGAAAUCUCCGAGCUUAACUCGGAAAGGUCAACUGAUACUGUGCGACUAGAGUGCGGAAGGGGCAACUGGAAUUCUUGGUGUAGCGGUGAAACGCGUAGAUAUCAAGAGGAACACCUGCGGCGAAGGCGGGUUGCUGGGCCGACACUGACGCUGAGGCGCGAAAGCUAGGGGAGCGAACGGG